rnacentral:rRNA from 1 species
UACCUUGUUGCUUCGGCGGGCCCGCCUUAACUGGCCGCCGGGGGGCUUACGCCCCCGGGCCCGCGCCCGCCGAAGACACCCUCGAACUCUGUCUGAAGAUUGUAGUCUGAGUGAAAAUAUAAAUUAUUUAGAACUUUCAACAACGGAUCUCUUGGUUCCGGCAUCGAUGAAGAACGCAGCGAAAUGCGAUACGUAAUGUGAAUUGCAAAUUCAGUGAAUCAUCGAGUCUUUGAGCGCACAUUGCGCCCCCUGGUAUUCCGGGGGGCAUGCCUGUCCGAGCGUCAUUUCUGCCCUCAAGCACGGCUUGUGUGUUGGGCCCCGUCCUCCGAUCCCGGGGGACGGGCCCGAAAGGCAGCGGCGGCACCGCGUCCGGUCCUCGAGCGUAUGGGGCUUUGUCACCCGCUCUGUAGGCCCGGCCGGCGCUUGCCGAUCAACCCAAAUUUUUAUCCAGGUUGACCUCGGAU